CUCCCUCCUCCCAUUGUGAGGCAGUUCUGGGUACAGGCAGUGGGGUAGGGUGGGAGGAAACAGAGGCGGUAGGGGCAGUGACCUGGGCUCUGCCUGCUUCCACCCCCUUCUGACGCCUUUGGUCACCCCCACCAUCAUGGGCAGUGCUUACCACUGGGAGGCCCGGCGUAGGCAGAUGGCUUUGGACCGGAGGAGGUGGCUGAUGGUCAAGCACCAGCGGCAGCAGCAGGAACAGCAGGAGCAACAGUGCUGUUUCAAAGUGUUUGCAAGAACGUAUCCUUUAUUCUCCCCUUACUGCUCCCAAGGUAGGAGGAACUGAAGAAACUCCAAGAGGAGAAAGGCCAAUCUGAGAAAAAACCCCAGUCCCCUCGGGGGUCACGAGAGGAGCAGCAGCCACCACCGCCACAGAGGCCACCAGGAGCGCAACCACAGCAGCAGGCGCCCCCUGCCCAACCGCAGCCUUGCCGACCGCAGGUCCCCGAGCAGACACAGACCCCACGCGC